rnacentral:rRNA from 1 species
UACGUAGGGUGCAAGCGUUAAUCGGAAUUACUGGGCGUAAAGCGUGCGCAGGCGGUUUUGUAAGUCUGUCGUGAAAGCCCCGGGCUCAACCUGGGAAUUGCGAUGGAGACUGCAAGGCUUGAAUCUGGCAGAGGGGGGUAGAAUUCCACGUGUAGCAGUGAAAUGCGUAGAUAUGUGGAGGAAUACCGAUGGCGAAGGCAGCCCCCUGGGAUAACACUGACGCUCAUGCACGAAAGCGUGGGGAGCAAAAGGG